rnacentral:rRNA from 1 species
GACGAACGCUGGCGGCGUGCUUAACACAUGCAAGUCGAACGGUAAGGCCCUUCGGGGUACACGAGUGGCGAACGGGUGAGUAACACGUGGGUGAUCUGCCCUGCACUUCGGGAUAAGCCUGGGAAACUGGGUCUAAUACCGGAUAGGACUCCGGACUGCAUGGUCUGGGGUGGAAAGCUUUUGCGGAGUGGGAUGGGCCCGCGGCCUAUCAGCUUGUUGGUGGGGUGAUGGCCUACCAAGGCGACGACGGGUAGCCGGCCUGAGAGGGUGACCGGCCACACUGGGACUGAGAUACGGCCCAGACUCCUACGGGAGGCAGCAGUGGGGAAUAUUGCACAAUGGGCGCAAGCCUGAUGCAGCGACGCCGCGUGAGGGAUGACGGCCUUCGGGUUGUAAACCUCUUUCAGUAUCGACGAAGCGAAAGUGACGGUAGGUGCAGAAGAAGGACCGGCCAACUACGUGCCAGCCGCCGCGGUAA